rnacentral:rRNA from 1 species
ACGCUAGCUACAGGCUUAACACAUGCAAGUCGAGGGCAGCAUGGAAGAAGCUUGCUUCUUCUGAUGGCGACCGGCGCACGGGUGCGUAACGCGUAUCAAACCUGCCUCAUACUCGGGGAUAGCCUUGCGAAAGUAAGAUUAAUACCCGAUGUUGUUGCUUUCUCGCAUGGGAGGGUAACCAAAGAUUUAUCGGUAUGAGAUGGUGAUGCGUCCGAUUAGGUAGUAGGCGGGGUAACGGCCCACCUAGCCUUCGAUCGGUAGGGGUUCUGAGAGGAAGGUCCCCCACACUGGAACUGAGACACGGUCCAGACUCCUACGGGAGGCAGCAGUGAGGAAUAUUGGUCAAUGGGCGAGAGCCUGAACCAGCCAAGUAGCGUGCAGGAUGACGGCCCUCCGGGUUGUAAACUGCUUUUAGUUGGGAAUAAAAAAAGGGACUUGUCCCUUCUUGUAUGUACCUUCAGAAAAAGGACCGGCUAAUUCCGUGCCAGCAGCCGCGGUAAUACGGAAGGUCCAGGCGUUAUCCGGAUUUAUUGGGUUUAAAGGGAGCGUAGGCGGAUUGUUAAGUCAGCGGUUAAAGGGUGUGGCUCAACCAUGCAUUGCCGUUGAAACUGGCGAUCUUGAGUGCAGACAGGGAUGCCGGAAUUCGUGGUGUAGCGGUGAAAUGCUUAGAUAUCACGAAGAACUCCGAUCGCGAAGGCAGGUGUCCGGGCUGCAACUGACGCUGAGGCUCGAAAGUGUGGGUAUCAAACAGGAUUAGAUACCCUGGUAGUCCACACAGUAAACGAUGUAUACUCGCGGUUUGCGAUAGAUUGUAAGCCGCCAAGCGAAAGCAUUAAGUAUACCACCUGGGGAGUACGCCGGCAACGGUGAAACUCAAAGGAAUUGACGGGGGCCCGCACAAGCGGAGGAACAUGUGG